rnacentral:rRNA from 1 species
AUGCAGUCGAGCGGACAGAUGGGAGCUUGCUCCCUGAUGUYAGCGGCGGACGGGUGAGUAACACGUGGGUAACCUGCCUGUAAGACUGGGAUAACUCCGGGAAACCGGGGCUAAUACCGGAUGCUURAUUGAACCGCAUGGUUCAAUUAUAAAAGGUGGCUUUUAGCUACCACUUACAGAUGGACCCGCGGCGCAUUAGCUAGUUGGUGAGGUAACGGCUCACCAAGGCAACGAUGCGUAGCCRACCUGAGAGGGUGAUCGGCCACACUGGGACUGAGACACGGCCCARACUCCUACGGGAGGCAGCAGUAGGGAAUCUUCCGCAAUGGACGAAAGUCUGACGGAGCAACGCCGCGUGAGUGAUGAAGGUUUUCGGAUCGUAAAACUCUGUUGUUAGGGAAGAACAAGUACCGUUCGAAUAGGGCGGUACCUUGACGGUACCUAACCAGAAAGCCACGGCUAACUACGUGCCAGCAGCCGCGGUAAUACGUAGGUGGCAAGCGUUGUCCGGAAUUAUUGGGCGUAAAGCGCGCGCAGGCGGUUUCUUAAGUCUGAUGUGAAAGCCCCCGGCUCAACCGGGGAGGGUCAUUGGAAACUGGGGAACUUGAGUGCAGAAGAGGAGAGUGGAAUUCCACGUGUAGCGGUGAAAUGCGUAGAGAUGUGGAGGAACACCAGUGGCGAAGGCGACUCUCUGGUCUGUAACUGACGCUGAGGCGCGAAAGCGUGGGGAGCGAACAGGAUUAGAUACCCUGGUAGUCCACGCCGUAAACGAUGAGUGCUAAGUGUUAGAGGGUUUCCGCCCUUUAGUGCUGCAGCAAACGCAUUAAGCACUCCGCCUGGGGAGUACGGUCGCAAGACUGAAACUCAAAGGAAUUGACGGGGGCCCGCACAAGCGGUGGAGCAUGUGGUUUAAUUCGAAGCAACGCGAAGAACCUUUACCAGGUCUUGACAUCCUCUGACACCCUAGAGAUAGGG